UGAAGAUAGGUGACUCAAAGACAUC
rnacentral:piRNA from 1 species